rnacentral:lncRNA from 1 species
CGAGACCGAAGAGGCCGCCAGGGUGGAGCGCGCGGCCAAGCGCCUUGUCGACGAAGUCAAGGUAAGCGGCUUUUUGUACUGCUGCGCAUUCUUUUGCCUUGUCUUGCUUGAUCGUUAUAUGCUUGCUUUGUAGGACGUAAUGAAAACGGCGAAGUACCGGAAACGGUGCUUUGACCAGAUAGAAGGCGUCAUGGCCGAGAACAAAGCCCUUGCCGCGGAGGUAGACCGGUUGCGGGCGGAGGUCGGGGAGAAGGUGGUCGAGAUGAGUGCCGAAAAGGAGCGUCGUCUCGACCUCGCUCGUCGUCUGGCCGACCAGUACCGGCUGCAGGAAGGUUAGUCACACGCUCCGAG